AGCGAACGCUGGCGGCGUACUUAACACAUGCAAGUCGAACGAGGAUCGCCUGUGUAGCAAUACAUAGGUGGUUCUAGUGGCGCACGGGUGAGUAACACGUGGGCAACCUGCCCUUGAGUCCGGGAUACCCUCUCGAAAGGGAGGCUAAUACUGGAUACGUUCCUUGGGUCGCAAGAUCUGGGGAGGAAAGGUGGCGAAAGCUACCGCUCUUGGAGGGGCUCGCGGCCUAUCAGCUAGUUGGUGAGGUAACGGCUCACCAAGGCUAUGACGGGUAGCUGGUCUGAGAGGACGACCAGCCACACGGGAACUGAGACACGGUCCCGACUCCUACGGGAGGCAGCAGUGGGGAAUUUUCCGCAAUGGGCGAAAGCCUGACGGAGUGACGCCGCGUGGGGGACGAAGGCCUUCGGGUCGUAAACCCCUGUCAGAGGGAAAGAAGGGUUGCCGACCUAACACGUCGGUGAUCUGACGGUACCUUCAGAGGAAGCCCCGGCCAAC
rnacentral:rRNA from 1 species